AUUGAACGCUGGCGGCAUGCCUAACACAUGCAAGUCGGGCGAGAGGCGGACGGGUGAGCAAUGUAUGGGGACCUGCCUGAUGGAGGGGGAAAACUACUGGAAACGGUAGCUAAUACCGCUUACCAUCAGAUGAACCCAUAUGGGAUUAGCUAGUGGGUAAGGUAACGGCUUACCUAGGCGACGAUGCCUAGCUGGCCUGAGAGGAUGAUCAGCCACACUGGGACUGAGACACGGCCCAGACUCCUACGGGAGGCAGCAGUAGGGAAUAUUGCACAAUGGACGCAAGCCUGAUGCAGCCAUGCCGCGUGUAUGAAGAAGGCCUUCGGGUUGUAAAGUACUUUCAGUCGGGAGGCGUUACCGACAGAAGAAGCACCGGCUAACUCCGUGCCAGCCGCCGCGGUAAUUC
rnacentral:rRNA from 1 species